AGGGACUUGACUGACUGAAACUUCAUCCUGUUGUCCAGGUGCAGCCGCUUCAACUGAUCACCACCGCGGUGGAGCCUGGGCGGCCCACGGUUAGAGCAUGUUCAUCAUCUGAAUGAGCAGAAGUGUUCUUAAUAGGGGGGGGAAAUAGAACAAAAAAUUCAAACAACAAGUUAAGAUUCUGGAAACACCUUUUUGUAUAAUCACGAGCGUCAGAUGAGCGUCGUGGGACUUCAAAACAGCAGGAGGCCAGUCCGCCGGCCCUUUGUUGCUAAUGACAGGGCAGAGACUUCAACGAUCUGGUCUUCCUAUGCGGGGCUGCUCUGCAUUCUUCCCAUCAAACCCAAAAACUUCCUGUGACGAAGCUUCCAGCGUCGGCCGUGACCCUGUGGAACGCUCUCCAUCUGAAAUGCCUCAUCCCUGGGGAGUUGGGAAAAGAAAACGGCUGCAUUACUCCGACGUCAGCGGUCAGAAACAUUUAUCCUGACAUGGCUUUUCCUCCCAGUUGAGACUUUUAUUUUGAGUCACUUAUCUGCUUUUAUUCCGCCUUUUCUGAAAUUCAAGUCUCAAACCUGUGAAUUCUUCGCACGACUGAGAAGUAAAGGCAAAAGUAUGUGUUUCCCAAAUGUCUUUGUCAGGAAGGUGAAAAGUUCCUGUUGAAAACAAAUUGGAACUCAGUCAACAGAAAGGGAGGAAAAUGUAAAAUAAUGUAAUUUAAUUUCCAAUUUUAGUUGCUUUAGCUGAAAAGCCUUUCAUUUUCUGCACUUGAGAAAUGCACAAAUCUGUUUAAUGGUAGAUUUGAAACUCAACUGUAUGUGCAACUUUGUGUCGUUGUCAGAAGGUGUGAAUCCUUUGGUGCGCAAGUAAUUGUAAAUAUUUUUCAUGUUACUGAAGAUGUUUCUCAUAUUCACACCUACAUUUAUGUGGAAUUAGUUAUUUACAACAAUGUUCAAUAAAUUUGAAUCUGAAUUAAGUAAAUGAGGCUUUUUCAUCUGAUUAAAAGUAUGUUUUGAAAAUAACAACCAUGUGGAUUUUCAACGUAGUUUUCAUUAAGCCUUCAUUUCUGAAUUAAAAAUAUACAUCUUUUAAAUGAAAAAUAAUCAUAGUUGACAGAAAAAGACGCUUGAAAACAUCAGUUUGUGUGUGAGUGGAGUUACUGAAUUAAUUAGCAUUUUUUUUUAAAA